ACCAGUGGAAGCAUCUAUUAAGGCAAUGAUAUGUGAAAUUGAUCAUUUUCCUACCGAUAAGCAUUUUGAUAACCUGACCCAUGGUCAGAGGAAGGCACUGACUGAGUUGAGGAAAAUGAAGGGGAUUAUUUUCAAACCAGCAGACAAGGGGGGUAACAUUGUACUGUUGCCAAAUGAGAAGUAUGAGGCGGAGGCCUCCAGACAGCUCAAUGACCCCACUUGUUACAAAAAAUUGAGUCAGAAUCUCCUCAAUAGCUUUCAGACACAGCUUUUUGAGAUAUUGGAACGAGCACUAAAAAAAAAUAUUUGAUGGAUUAAAAAUUGAUCAUCCCACGGUAGCAACGUUAUACUUGUUACCAAAAGUACACAAGGAUAGAUUUAAUCCCCCGGGUAGACUAAUAGUGUCUGGCCGGGGGAGUCUAUGUGAACCAGUGUGUCGCUUUUUGGAUUUUUACUUACAACCGUGUGUACAAGACCUACCAUCCUAUAUUAAGGAUUCAGGUGAGGCCCUGAAAAGAUUGGAAGGGGUGAUUAUGGAGGAUGACAUGUUUCUUGUAUCAUGUGAUGUGGAAUCUUUAUAUACGUGCAUUGAUCACAGCCAGGGGCUGUUAGCCAGUAGGUAUUUUCUGCAGAUGAGGGGCUUUGAGCCCGAACUAUUGGAAUUAUUAAUGAUCUUACUGGAGUUUGUACUUCAACAUAAUUUUUUUGUGUUCAAGGAUCGGUUCUACUUGCAAACGAGAGGCGUGGCAAUGGGUGCCAAAUGUGUGCCAGCAUAUGCAAAUUUAUUCCUUGGAUAUUGGGAACAAGAAAACAUUUUUACCUAUGAAACUUCAAUCAUGUGGACAGCUGACAUCAUGGAUGUGAUGUAUAGAUGAUGUUCUAUUCAUCUGGCAAGCAACGGUUUCAACAAAGAGGCUACUCAACAAAGGACAUAUCUGAAGGGUAUAUGACAGCUCAAAAAACAGCAACGUCCUCAACUUCUACACUCUAGACACAAGAGAAAGGAGUCCAAUGACAUCAGAAUGAUUACUGAUUAUCACUGCAGAUGGCAAGACAUGAUGGGAGCUAUGAAGAAACUUUGGCCAAUUCUACAGCAGGACCCAGAUCUAUAAUUGCUCACAAUGGACAAGACCACCUUUUGAAGUUUAGAUGAAUAGAUCGUUUACAUCUUGGGAUUCGCGGAGGCAGCACUCAACAACUACUCGCCAGGAAAGAGUGUCAGAGGAGCGUUCUAAUAUGAAUUACCUUAUAGGAUGCCACCUUGGAUGAAUACAGGGAUCAAGAUGUACAUGCACUUUACUUCAUUCAUUUUUUCACUUAUGAUUUUCUAAGGAUUGUACAUAUAAUUGUACAGUGACUGUUGUUUCAUCAUAUUUUCACUUAUUACAAUUUUCACAUAAGGUGUCACCUUCUGCAUUCAUGCACUUUAUUUAUACAGGACGAUUAUAUGUAGUCCUGUAUUAUUCUACCACUUUUUCGCCCACACACCUUCAUGUAUUUAAUUUAGUUUUCACACCACACACUUAUAUAUUCUUCUAGCUAUCUAUUCAAUAUAUAGAUAUAUAUUUUACAUUUAUUUUUAUAUUUUUAAUUUUUAUAUUAUCACGAAUAUAAUUUUUCUUUUUUAAUAAUUUUUUAUAUAUAUUCACACAUUCAUGAGAUAUUGUUUAUAUUUUUAUUAUUCACCAAUUAUAUUUUUUUAUUCACCUUUCACACUUCACAUACAUGACAUACAUACACCUCUUUUUCUCAUAUUGUUUUUUCCCAUCAGAUUGGUAUUAUUUUGUAGUGUAUUUACCCCUUUUUUUUUUGUUCACACAAUGUCAUUCUCACAUUUUUCACUCAUCAAUUCACUUUCUACCAGUCAUACCAUUAUAUAUUAUUUGUAUUUAAUUGCGAUCCAUCCCCUUUGUGGUAUGGCACUCCAGGGCAAUAAGCCAGUAUACUUUGCAUGAAUUUCUAGAUGGCAAGUGUGCAAUAUGAGCAGCUGUGAAUCGGUGACACAUGAUUGUCGGUACACCUUUUUUUUGCUGCUAUAUGCAAGAUUGCACUUUAUUUUUCUUGCUGUAUUUGGUGCAUGCUGCGACCUAACUUAUAUUGGGCCAGGAUUCCAAGGCUACAAUCUAUUAUGAAUUUGUUCCUAGCAUGCAACAUAUGAAUUUUCUAUUUUUCUGGAUAAUGAUGCAUUGAUUUGUGACUCUGUGUUCCCCCCACUGCUGCGGUGUUUUUAAUAUUUCAAUGUGUAUAUGUUUUUUUAGGGGAGGGCCUAUUA